UACGAAGGGGGCUAGCGUUGCUCGGAAUGACUGGGCGUAAAGGGCGCGUAGGCGGUUUGUACAGUCAGGUGUGAAAUUCCCGGGCUCAACCUGGGGGCUGCACUUGAUACGUAUGGACUGGAGUGGGGAAGAGGGUCGUGGAAUUCCCAGUGUAGAGGUGAAAUUCGUAGAUAUUGGGAAGAACACCAGUGGCGAAGGCGGCCCGCUGGGCAGUGGCUGACGCUGAGGCGCGACAGCGUGGGGAGCAAACAGG
rnacentral:rRNA from 1 species